CGGGACUGAGACACGGCCCGAACUCCUACGGGAGGCAGCAGUGGGGAAUAUUGGACAAUGGGGGCAACCCUGAUCCAGCCAUGCCGCGUGUGUGAAGAAGGCUUUCGGGUUGUAAAGCACUUUCAGUGAGGAGGAAGGCCUUAAGGUUAAUACCCUUGAGGAUUGACGUUACUCACAGAAGAAGCACCGGCUAACUCCGUGCCAGCAGCCGCGGUAAUACGGAGGGUGCAAGCGUUAAUCGGAAUUACUGGGCGUAAAGCGCGCGUAGGUGGUUUGAUAAGCGAGAUGUGAAAGCCCCGGGCUUAACCUGGGAACGGCAUUUCGAACUGUCAGGCUAGAGUGUGGUAGAGG
rnacentral:rRNA from 1 species